AGAGUUUGAUCCUGGCUCAGGACGAACGCUGGCGGCGCGCCUAACACAUGCAAGUCGAACGAGCGAGAGAGAGCUUGCUUUCUCGAGCGAGUGGCGAACGGGUGAGUAACGCGUGAGGAACCUGCCUCAAAGAGGGGGACAACAGUUGGAAACGACUGCUAAUACCGCAUAAGCCCACGGGUCGGCAUCGACCAGAGGGAAAAGGAGCAAUCCGCUUUGAGAUGGCCUCGCGUCCGAUUAGCUAGUUGGUGAGGUAACGGCCCACCAAGGCGACGAUCGGUAGCCGGACUGAGAGGUUGAACGGCCACAUUGGGACUGAGACACGGCCCAGACUCCUACGGGAGGCAGCAGUGGGGAAUAUUGCACAAUGGGGGAAACCCUGAUGCAGCGACGCCGCGUGGAGGAAGAAGGUCUUCGGAUUGUAAACUCCUGUUGUUGAGGAAGAUAAUGACGGUACUCAACAAGGAAGUGACGACUAACUACGUGCCAGCAGCCGCGGUAAAACGUAGGUCACAAGCGUUGUCCGGAAUUACUGGGUGUAAAGGGAGCGCAGGCGGGAAGACAAGUUGGAAGUGAAAUCCAUGGGCUCAACCCAUGAACUGCUUUCAAAACUGUUUUUCUUGAGUAGUGCAGAGGUAGGCGGAAUUCCCGGUGUAGCGGUGGAAUGCGUAGAUAUCGGGAGGAACACCAGUGGCGAAGGCGGCCUACUGGGCACCAACUGACGCUGAGGCUCGAAAGUGUGGGUAGCAAACAGGAUUAGAUACCCUGGUAGUCCACACCGUAAACGAUGAUUACUAGGUGUUGGAGGAUUGACCCCUUCAGUGCCGCAGUUAACACAAUAAGUAAUCCACCUGGGGAGUACGACCGCAAGGUUGAAACUCAAAGGAAUUGACGGGGGCCCGCACAAGCAGUGGAGUAUGUGGUUUAAUUCGACGCAACGCGAAGAACCUUACCAAGUCUUGACAUCCCUUGACGAUGCUGGAAACAGUAUUUCUCUUCGGAGCAAGGAGACAGGUGGUGCAUGGUUGUCGUCAGCUCGUGUCGUGAGAUGUUGGGUUAAGUCCCGCAACGAGCGCAACCCUUAUGGUCAGUUACUACGCAAGAGGACUCUGGCCAGACUGCCGUUGACAAAACGGAGGAAGGUGGGGAUGACGUCAAAUCAUCAUGCCCUUUAUGACUUGGGCUACACACGUACUACAAUGGCGUUAAACAAAGAGAAGCAAGACCGCGAGGUGGAGCAAAACUCAGAAACAACGUCCCAGUUCGGACUGCAGGCUGCAACUCGCCUGCACGAAGUCGGAAUUGCUAGUAAUCGUGGAUCAGCAUGCCACGGUGAAUA
rnacentral:rRNA from 1 species